AUACGUAGGCAGCAAGCGUUGUUCGGAAUUACUGGGCGUAAAGCGAGUGUAGGCGGCUCGCCAAGUCUGUUGUGAAAUCUCCCGGCUCAACUGGGAGGGUGCGGCGGAAACUGGCAGGCUAGAGUACGGAAGAGGAGAGUGGAAUUCCUGGUGUAGCGGUGAAAUGCGUAGAUAUCAGGAGGAACAUCGGUGGUGAAGACGGCUCUCUGGACCGCUACUGACGCUGAGACUCGAAAGCGUGGGGAGCAAACAGAAUUAGAAACCCCAGUAGUCC
rnacentral:rRNA from 1 species